AAAUGAAUCAUUUUGUACAACAGAAACUAACGCAACAUUGUAAGUCAACUAUACUUCAAUAAAACUUUUAUAAAAUAAUAAAAUAAAAAAGAUACAAGGAUAUAACAUACAGCAAGGGAAUACAAAUACUAUUUUAUAAUAAUUUUAAAUGAAAUAUAAUCUACAAAAAUAUAGAAUCACUAUGUUGUACACCUGAAGCUAAUAUAAUACAGUGAAUCAACUAUAUUUCAAUAAAAAUAACUUUUAUAAUAAAAAAGUAUUUACCAAAAGAAAAUUUGAGAACAAAUUAGAAAUACGUCCAUGAUAACACAGUGGCCCAUAGAUUUGUCAAGUCAUCCAAUUUAGCAGAGAGUUGUUUGAGGAGCCUAGAUAUUGUGUAGAAGAGGGACUUAACAGAGCAGAUCAAGGAACCAGAUCUGGAAAGUCAGUGGAAUGAUUGACAGUGAUGUCAUCAGUGCUGUGAAGUGCAGAUUAGUAUGGAGUUUGGGCAGCCACUUUGGAUGAAGCAAGAAGAAUAGACCCUGCCAACAGUGCAGAAAGGGGACGAGAUGGUGGGGGAAUUCAUUGCCUGUUCAUCUCAAGAUGCCCAUCUUGGCCUCCCCCAAGCUUUGUUUACCAAUACAGUUUGUGUCUAAUUUCAGAAGAGUUCUUAGGAAUGUGAGUUCGGAAUCCACUAAUGUCCUACAUAGAAAUAGAAAGGUGAACUAAUUCCCUAGAUGUCUUCUCUCAAAGACUCUAUCAUCUAGCAAUAGUUUCUGGGCAUGCAUUGUUGAAAAAUGCAGCAUAGUGUCUGUACACAAGCAGUCUACAUACUAGCAGGACUAGAGAGACACAAAUUAAACUCAUUACCGAGACAAGCAUUUACUUACAAUUGUGAUCAAAUGUUAUGAGAGAAGUACGGGCUAUCAGUUAAAGAGUGAUCAACAGCAGAUCUGAAUUUUCUAGGCUAUCUUUAAAAAGUAAUAUAAAUUUUAUAGUAAUAACAAAGCAAUAAAUAUGUGAGAAUUUUUCAAGAAAAUAGAAUUUUGAGGUGAGCUCUUUUUCUGCUUUUUUUGUUGUUUUCUGGGUUUUUUUGUUUUGGGAAGUUAGGUUUUUUUGGUGGGGUGGGCACAACUACAGCAUACAGAAGUUCUCAGGCUAGGGAUCAAACUCAAGCCACGGCAGUAACAAUGCCAGAUCCUUAACCUGCUCAGCUAUGAGGGAACUCCCAGAAGUGCUCUUAUUUAUUUAUUUAUUUGCUUUAUAGGGUUGCAUCCAUUGCAUAUGGAAGAUUCCAAACUAGGGGUCUAAUCAAAGCUAUAGCUGCCAUCCUACACCAGCCAUGGCAACUCAGGAUCCGAGCUGCAUCUGCAACCUACACCACAACUCAUGGCAACACCAGAUUCUUGACACACUGAGCAAGGGCAGGGAUCGAACCCACAUCCUCGUGGAUACUAGUCAGAUUUGUUUCAGCUGCACCACUACAGGAACUCCUAAGACAUGCUCUUUAUUUUUUUUUCUGGGAAAUGUAGUUUUUUUUAUUAUAUUUCCAAAGGAAGGGAAGACUCAUCCCUGAGACUUUUGACACUGAUGAGAAAGUUGACAGCAGGCUAUUGUCUGUUUCGGUGCCCAUCUGCUGAAGGUUAGGGUGUGUUCCUGGCCAUUUCUGUCAAAGGUUUCCUGGAGGAGGUAGUCCCUCUUACACAACAAGACUGAGGAGAUCAAGAAGGCUUGGUGGUCCCUAGGAAGAGGAAAUGCAAGGCAGUUGGGCUGCCUCAACAGUCAUCUUAUGCUAAAUCUAACCCCUGGAAGAAGAGGUGUCCCCAUUCCCACACCCUCCCUCUUACUCAACCACCAGAGAAUGUGGGGAGCAUACACUGUAUCAGCAUGUUUCUUUUCUUUUCUUUUCUUUUCUUUUCUUUUCUUUGCAUUUUGCUUUUUAGGGCUGCCCCCAAGGCACAAGAAGGUUCCUAGGCUAGGGGUCAAAUUGGAGCUGUGGUCACCAGCCUAUGCCAGGGCCACACCAACAGAUCCAAGCUGCAUCUGGGACCUAUACCACAGCUCACAGCAAUGCCACAUCCUUAACCCACUGAGCGAGGAAGAAAAAAAAAGAAUUUUGUUUAUGAAUUGUUUAGACACAUUCUAAGUCAUUCUGAAAAAUGACUGAACUUUUUACUCCAUGGUAUCUGUCAUAUAAACACUGUCUCUAUUAGAUUCUGCUAAAAAUCACAAUGAGAAGUAUUUCCAAAAACUAGUGAUCUGAAGAGACACUGCUUUUUCAUCUCAUUAUGCUAUGCCUGUGAGUAUAUUAAACCACAUAAAAGUGUCUUUAGUACAAAUACAGUGUGUUAUCUCAAACAGGCUAUUUUAGAAUUUUACUACUUUAGGUCAAAAGUAUAAGAGCACAACGAGCUAUGAUUUAACCCAGCUUUUUGACUAUGAAAUUCUACUGUUAUCUUUUUUAGAUAGACAUAUUAUUUCAGUGACUAUCAUAACUAAAAGUCAAAAGAGAUGCUUUCAACUCUUCUCAGCAGGCUAGCUAUUCCCAAAACUAUCUUGAGAUAACACUUCAAUAAGGACUUCGAAGUUUUCAGCUUCGAGUGAUGUCUAGCUGUUCCUCAGAAAACUCGCUGAUUCCAAGUCUUGAGAAGGGAAGGUACAAGGUGGUCCCGGGACAUUUUGUGUCCGAAUCCAGGGAACAUUUAAGAAAAAUAGGAAUAUUUCAAAACAGGAGCCAGGUGGAAGGGAUUCUACCUACCAGCUCUUGGAUAUUGGACUAACAAAAAGAAUAAUGGCUGUAAUCACUUGUAAUACAUUGACUAAGCAAAAAUAUCUGUGAAGACUCUGAAAAACUCAUACCAACACUGAAAACAUAUUAAAAAAUACAUAUGGGAAGAACUAUGAAGAUAAAAUGUGAAAUACAAUUGGUUGAUAACACAAGAUUAUCCAUUUGAGAAGGUAAUCUUCCAGUCAAAGGACAAAAAACUUUACAACGUAAGCCCAAAAUAUAUUAGUUUGAAUGUUUUAAAAUUUCACCAGAAAAAAAUGAUAAUUUAUAUCUAAUUUUAUUAUUUUAAAGUUAAUGUGACCAGGAAAUAAAAUCAAUGGGCCAUGAGUAGAAUAUAACUAUUGUCUUCAUAUUGAUGAGU
rnacentral:lncRNA from 1 species